rnacentral:piRNA from 1 species
UGUCACGAUGCCUUUCAACUGAAUGUUAAGU